rnacentral:rRNA from 1 species
UACGGGGGGGCAAGCGUUGUUCGGAAUUACUGGGCGUAAAGGGUUCGUAGGUGGCCUACUAAGUCAGACGUGAAAUCCCUCAGCUUAACUGGGGAACUGCGUCUGAGACUGGUGGGCUUGAGUGCAGGAGAGGAACGCGGAAUUCCAGGUGUAGCGGUGAAAUGCGUAGAUAUCUGGAGGAACACCGGUGGCGAAGGCGGCGUUCUGGACUGCAACUGACACUGAGGAACGAAGCCAGGGAGCAAACGGG